rnacentral:lncRNA from 1 species
CUGAUUAUAUUUCUUCUGUAAAUGUCUAAUCUCUGUAUCCCUUCUAUGCUUCAAUUGCUUUUCCAUUAGUCUAAUUCUAAUUUCAUCCACAGGGAAUCUGAGGAACUGGCUGAAGUUGAAGCAGAGCUGGUCUGUGUUUUUCGAAUCACCUCUUGCCAUACAUGAAUUUUAGCUUUUCUUAUUUUAAUUUUUAUGCUGCAAGUAGGAUGCGGCCGAAUCACCUCUUGGCAUACAUGAAUUUUAGCUUUUCUUAUUUUAACUUUUAUGGUGCAAGUAGGAUGCGGAUGUAAAAGCUAAUGGUGGAGCAACCAAGGAGAAGAAUAAGGUAGCAUUCCUGCUCAUAGUGUACAUUGCAUUUCUCUUUUUUCUUUUAAAAAAAAUAAUUUUGGACUUCUCCAACUACCCAGAUCCUGCCUCCUCUGGACAGAGGUGGCAGGCGUACUUUCGGGACCUUCUUAACGAGGAGGGGGAUCGGAGCAUAGAGC